CCCACACUCCUGUGUGAACUGGUCUC
rnacentral:misc_RNA from 1 species